AGAGUUUGAUCAUGGCUCAGGACGAACGCUGGCGGCGUGCUUAACACAUGCAAGUCGAACGGAAAGGCCCUUCGGGGUACUCGAGUGGCGAACGGGUGAGUAACACGUGGGUGAUCUGCCCUGCACUUUGGGAUAAGCCUGGGAAACUGGGUCUAAUACCGAAUAUGACCACGCUCUUCAUGGGGUGUGGUGGAAAGCUUUUGCGGUGUGGGAUGGGCCCGCGGCCUAUCAGCUUGUUGGUGGGGUGAUGGCCUACCAAGGCGACGACGGGUAGCCGGCCUGAGAGGGUGACCGGCCACACUGGGACUGAGAUACGGCCCAGACUCCUACGGGAGGCAGCAGUGGGGAAUAUUGCACAAUGGGCGCAAGCCUGAUGCAGCGACGCCGCGUGAGGGAUGACGGCCUUCGGGUUGUAAACCUCUUUCAGCACAGACGAAGCGCGAGUGACGGUAUGCGCAGAAGAAGGACCGGCCAACUACGUGCCAGCAGCCGCGGUAAUACGUAGGGUCCGAGCGUUGUCCGGAAUUACUGGGCGUAAAGAGCUCGUAGGUGGUUUGUCGCGUUGUUCGUGAAAACUCACAGCUUAACUGUGGGCGUGCGGGCGAUACGGGCAGACUGGAGUACUGCAGGGGAGACUGGAAUUCCUGGUGUAGCGGUGGAAUGCGCAGAUAUCAGGAGGAACACCGGUGGCGAAGGCGGGUCUCUGGGCAGUAACUGACGCUGAGGAGCGAAAGCGUGGGGAGCGAACAGGAUUAGAUACCCUGGUAGUCCAA
rnacentral:rRNA from 1 species